AUCCAGAUGAAGAGUCCCAAAUAGGACGAAAAUGAGCAUCCUGGAU
rfam:Trichobilharzia regenti genome assembly, scaffold: TRE_scaffold0027055